rnacentral:rRNA from 1 species
UACGUAGGGGGCGAGCGUUGUCCGGAUUUAUUGGGCGUAAAGAGCACGCAGGCGGUUUGGCAAGUCGGACGUGAAAAUCCGGGGCUCAACCCCGGACCUGCAUCCGAAACUGCCCGACUAGAGGUAGGUAGGGGAGAUCGGAAUUCCUGGUGUAGCGGUGAAAUGCGCAGAUAUCAGGAGGAACACCGGUGGCGAAGGCGGAUCUCUGGGCCUUACCUGACGCUCAGGUGCGAAAGCUAGGGGAGCGAACAGG